GAGACCUACUGUGUGCAAGUCAACUCCGCCACCCAAGGAGGUGGGAAGUUUAGAUUUAUUAAUUUGCUUUCUAUGUGCCAAGAGCCAGUUAGACAAGAUGACUGUCCUCUGGAGUUUUCAUUCUAGUGGAGGAGACAUAAUUAAACAGUAAACCCUAUUCAGAGGAGUAAAAUAAGGUGGUGUGCUAGAGGAUGACUGGAGUAUGCUUUGGAUUGGACGGUGUGGUCUGGGAAAGCCUCUAGGAUAAUGUGAGUGAACUGCCCAACGCACAGUAAGUGCUCUGGCGAUGGUAGCUAUUUGGGUGACGAUAAUGCUUUAUGCAAUAGCUCUUGCUUUGCCGACUAUAUGCUAGGCGCUGUGCCAGGCCUGGUGAUAACAACGGAGAGAGACAGUCCCUGCUCUCACGAGGCAGGCAGAAGUAUGUGCAGUUACCAUAAAAAUGAAGGGCAAAUGCUGAUGUAGGGAAGAUGCCAAAUGGUUGGAGUUCGGAAGUGGGAGAGGACCACCCACUUCAGGAAGGCACAUGGCAGGGUUAAGAGAGGGAAGAAAAAGGAGGAGAAAAGGAAGGUAAAUUCGACCCAAAGGCACCAUUAAUAAUUGUCGGGAUAGGCUAGGAAACACGAGACCCCGCAAACACCGAGAACGCAUGCAGAAACAGACUGCGGAUCUCUACAAAGGGCCUAAUUACAGAACCGUCUGUUGGAGAUUAAGCAAAUAUAAUAGAAUAUAUUAAUAUUUACAGUGCCGGAGGCAGUGCCCUGGGAACCCUCUGGCGCCUUGUGAACUUGUCUGCCUUAGCCUUUGCCGCGUUUUAAAUUCUUUUGGGUUAACCGUCAACAUUUAAAAAAACAUAAUUUUUCACAAGUGUGUCUGGAUGUCUGUUUCCUAAAACAGUCAGAAGAUCCAGCCACCCUGGGCUCCUGUUCCACUCGGCCAACGCUGGCUGGAGAACGGCUAGCUAGAGCACGUGUGCUCCUUCUCUAUUCAGGAAGGUCCCCACCGCUUAGUGACAUUGUCCUGUGUCGCUUUAGCCCUGCUCUCACACUGUUAUUUACCCUAGAGAAGAAUUAGGAGAUAGAGCAUAUUUCUUUGUAAAAGUAAAGAAUGUUCCCAUAUACUUAAUAUGCGAACAAAGUUGGAAGAACACCCCGUGUCCUGCCUGGCCCUCGUAGGCACUUGGGUUUAACCUCCAUACUCCACUGACUAUAGCUGCUUGGUGCCCAGAGUCACCACUCCAGAGGGAAAAGGUUAAGCUGCUUUCCCAAGGGCAAGAAAGGGCCUUGGGAAAGGAGAUGAGGAGGAGGGGCCAGGAAGGCAUUGCAGGGAGAGACCAGAACGUGGAAAAGGGAGAACCCGGCUAAGGGAAGGAUUUACUUUUGCCGAGAGGGUGGAGGCUCUGAAAUGAGGAAAAAAAAAAAAGUUUCAGGCAGCUGUCAGGGUUGGGGAGAAACGUGAAGUCCUUAGAAUCAUUUCUGGAGUGACAGGAAGGAAGGGACUGCAGAGACUUCUGUGAGGGACGGUGGGAUGGUGACCACUGGCUGCCACUCAGGGCUGCGAGAGUGGCCCCCAGGGGCAGCAUCCACGCUCUGAGGACACCGAGUCAGAGGAGGCCGCUGGUGUCCCCUUUAGCACAAAGGGCAGGUAGUCAAAAGGAAGGCAGCUGUGAUUCGCAAUGGCAGACUCUUAUUUUGGGGUUAACAAUCCCUAACGGGGGUUCUGGAGAAGGAAAGUGUGGUGUGCUGUUGAGUCAAUAGGAAUUGGAUGUCGUAAGUAAAAAAAGUGACAGAGCAGAAGAAAGAAGCGGGAGGUUGCUGGGCAGAUCACGGAAUAACUGGCUGCGACAGUGUCGGAUAUUUGCAUGGGCGGCAUGUUGAUUAGGGAAAAAAAGGCUCUUUGUUCUGAAAUGCCUUCAGCAGUGAAAGUCAAGAUGUGUUCAGAGGGGCCACGGUGAACUCGAUCUCCUCCUCCGCGUUGACGGGGUCUCAGGACUGGUCUGCAGAACUCGGAUUCACCUUCCGUAAGGGCUUCUCCUGGCUGUCAGACCACACGAUCUGCCAUCUCUCCGAGUUCCAGCAGCCCUGGCCACUCAGCAGCUACUUCCGGUGGGAGCCGUCUCAAAUCGUUCUCCAGGCGCAAGUGUUAAACUCUCUUAGGUCAAAGAUUAUAUUUUAUAUCUCCCUUGCACCUCCAUUUAUUUGUCACAUAGUAGGUGCGCCAAAAUCCAUGCUAUAUGAAAAUGGUGCAGAGAGCUCCUGGAGGCAGACGACCUGGACUUUAAUCCGGUUUUACACCUGUCAGCCCGACGGGCUUGGGCGAGACGGUGACCUUUCAGCUUCCUCACCUCUGCACAGAGAAGUGAUCUCUGCUCCGCCUACUUCACCAGACGAAUGUACGCAUUCAUGAAAAAUGCGAAUCUUUUUUUUUUUUUUUCCAGCUGGGAACUCCUAUAGAAAUGUACUCCACUGAUCCUUUAGGUGUGCAUUGGGCGGUCACCUUCACUGUGAGAGCGUCCGAGUUCUUUAGCUGGAUCUAGACUUGGAGAAGUGAGAGAGCCCAGCCUUCAGAAGACUCUCCAAAGCCCCAGGGACAGCAGCUGGCAGUUGAACCAUCAUCAACAUUCUUUCAUCUGAAAUGUACCUUGUCACAGACGCUGGGAAGUAGGCUGCAGCUGUAAUUGCCUAAAUUCUUUUCAUAAUGAGAACAUUUUAUUACUCCGCCAAAGGGUGUGUGCCAAGAAAGCCUGUGCCUAAAAAUGACUAAGUAAACCAAAUAACUUCGACACAGAAUAACUUCCAAAAUGAAGAUGGCCGGGGUUCAAUACACAGGCUCAAACAAACCAAUCCUUAAAACUCAAAACAUGACUCAAUCUUUGCUUUGUUCAUACCCUAAGCUGAUAUAAAUCCAGUGUGGAUUAGGGAAUUAAAAUUUAAACAUGAGAUAUAAAACAAAUGGAACAUGCAAAUGACUACACGAAAAUAUACACAAAUACGGGAUGAACUUUGAAUAAGAAGACUUCCUGAGUAUAAAUGAAGAAACCAUACAGAUUAGAUUUGUUUAGAUUUUACAAAUCUGUUUUUUUUUUUUUAGAUUUG